UGGGGAAUAUUGCACAAUGGGCGCAAGCCUGAUGCAGCCAUGCCGCGUGUGUGAAGAAGGCCUUCGUGUUGUAAAGCACUUUCAUCGGGGAGGAAGGUGUUACGGUUAUUAACCUUGGCGAUUGACGUUACCCGCAGAAGAAGCACCGGCUAACUCCGUGCCAGCAGCCGCGGUAAUACGGAGGGUGCAAGCGUUAAUCGGAAUUACUGGGCGUAAAUCGCACGCUGGCGGUCUGUAAAGUCGGAUGUGAAAUCCCCAGGCUCAACCUGGGAACUGCAAUCGAAACUGGCAGGCUAGAGUCCAGUAGAGGGGGGAAGAAUUCCAGGUGUAGCGGUGAAAUGCGUAGAGAUCUGGAGGAAUACCGGUGGCGAAAGCGGCCCCCUGGGCAAAAUCUGACACUCAGGUGCGAAAGCGUGGGGAGCAAACAGG
rnacentral:rRNA from 1 species